UAUGGACCAUCUCUGGUGGAAGCCUUGGAUCAAGAGGCUUAGGACACUGUCAGGCUAACCCUGAAUGUCUUUGUCAUUGGGAUAUGGACCAUCUCUGGUGGAAGCCUUGGAUCAAGAGGCUGAGAUGAGGAGGCUGAUGAUGCCAGCAGUUCCUGGAGAGGAGGGAAAGUGUUAAUCUGAAGGAAAUUGCUACCUCAGAGCCUAUACUCUAGACCCUCUGUGAAGAGCAGGGACAUCACUCAACCCUUCUUCAGUCAUGUGCCAGACAGAGAGCUCAGUAACUGCCCCCCGGAAAGUGCUUGCACGGAGGUGUUCCUUAUGGAUGCACUCCCACAUGGCUUCUGUCUUGGGCCGGUGCCACGUGCUGCCUGCAGCUCUUCACAGCUGAUGUUCCACAACUUGGAGUCUCCAUUGCAGCCUCAGCUGCACACAUCACCUCAGCGAUGUCUCUAUGGGGUUCCAACCCCACAACAAGUGGCCUGGACUCCAAUGGCUUCCUUUGAAAUCUGAGAGGAAGCCUCCAUGAUCCCACAUCUCUUGCAUUCUGCAUGUCUACAAAACCAGUAUCAUACAAAUAUUACCAAUUAAUACCAAGGAAUACCGAAAUGGAUUUGUUGCUGGCUUGAGGGCCAGCUUGGGUUUAGCCUUUCAGAUGAAAAUACUCAUCUAGCUGUUCCUGCACCUACAGGGUGCCAUGGGGGCUUCUCAGAUGUACCUUUUAGGUGAAUUAAAACCUUUAUAUCUCUGAUCCUGUAAUGGAAGAGGUUCUGCCAAUUCCUCAGAUGCCCCAAAGGCAUCUUUCCCAUUGCCACCUCAUUACUUUCACCUAUAUAACACCCAUGCCCCUUUUGCCUGAAACUUUGAACAUAUCACAUUUGUGGUCAAGCAGCACAUUUUCCAAGCCUUUCCAUUUGGCUUUUAAUGCUCUCACUUCUAAGUAUAAACUUGGCCAAAAGCAGCCAAGCAACAUUCAUGCCACACACUAGAUGUUGUGCCAUCUUGAAAGUCCCCCCACCAAAUCAAUUAGUUUAUUGCAUUCUAAUUCAGCCUCAUUCAAAGUCGUAGGACAUGGACAAAAC